AUACUUACCUGGCAGGGGAGAGGCCAUGAUCAUGAAGGUGGUUCACCCAGGACGAGGCUAGCCCAUUGCACUUCAGGUGCGCUGACGCUUGUGAUUUCCCCAAAUGCAGGAUACUCAACUGCAAAAUUUGUGGUAGUGGGGGACUGCGUUUGCAUUCCAAAU